GGCUCUGUGGCGCAAUGGCUAGCGCAUUGGACUUCUAAUUCAAAGGUUGUGGGUUCGAGUCCCACCAGAGUCG